rnacentral:lncRNA from 1 species
UCCCAGCACCAUUUGUUGAAGAUGCUUUCCUUUCUCCAGUGUAUGCUUUUGGCAUCUUUGUUUAAUAUAAGGUAGUUGUAAUUUUGUGGGUUAGUCUCUGUGUCCUCUAUUCUCUACCUUUGGUCUGCCAGCCUGUUUUGCUGCCAGUACCAUGCUAUUGCUCUGUGGUAUAGAUUAAGGUCUGGUAUAGCAAUGCCAUCUGUU